rnacentral:lncRNA from 1 species
CCCGACUCGGGGGCUACGUGAUGUACAUUAUGCGAGCAUUUUUCUCUCGCUGGUUAAUUGCAUUUUCUUGUCUCGUGUGGCAAUCCCUGAAACCCUCCAAACAUUGCCACACACAGCAGCAUCGGGCUUGACCGUUAGAUCUAAGAUCUAGCUGUGUGUAGGAGAGAAUUUCGCAAAGCCCUUGCUGUUUAUCCAGAGUUCUUGAGCUCGAGAUUCACUACCUGACCACGCUUGACCCAGUUUCUAUGUAAAUCGAGUGGCGAGACAUGGCCAGAAGCGGCCCAAAACACACACACACACACACACACACACACACACACAGUUUCAGCACACUUGGAGGCCACUGAACUUGGCCGUCGAGUCGUCAUCAUCAUCAUUGCUGGCGUUGGAGU